UAGACGAAAGCCUGUAGGUUUGGGCACCUAGCUGUUAACUAGGAUUUUGUGGGAUCGAGGCCCGCUUGUCUAG
rnacentral:tRNA from 2 species